CCCCGACGUGCACACCCGAGGACCUAAGACACGGCUCCUACACCUGCCGCGUGCGACACCCCCGCACGGAAAUCCCGCUCCUCGGCUGACCUGGUGACACAGGCCGUCACCCCUACCCCCACUUCCCCCCCUCCACCCCACUCUCUGCGUUGCUUCCGUGAGGUCAGCACUCACCUUCCCUGCAGGGAUGAAAAGGGCAAUUCGCGCCUCCCGCCAGCCAAGGAGUCUGCCCUUUCUUCCCCCACGCCGGGCGCUUAGAGAAGAGGAAGGACAGCAAGCUUGCUUUUGCUUUACCCUUACCUUAUAAAGCACCGCUCUCGUGGUUCUGACUCAGAAGACCCCGGGGGCCCAAUAAGCCAGGCCUGAGCAGCAAGCAAGCGAGGCCCGAGCAACAAGCGAGUGAACGACCAACUUGGAGUGGGAAGAGACCAGACUUAAAGCACUGAACAGGAAUUCUGAAACCUAAGAAGUCAAUGUUAAGGCUAGUUUCCCUAACUUACAAGGCUGGACAAUACUCUUCACCAUUUCAUGUGGCCCAGAUAGCUGGAACAGCUCCAGUCACCAGACCUCACACCAAUGUCGCAAGCAAGAAGGAAAAGCAGAGCUGCUCUUUCCAGAGCUCAGCACGACACUGAGGAACUCCUGGGCAGCCAGAACUUUCACUCUUGGAAAGCCACGUCCUUCCUGAUGGCAGCCUGCCAGGCUGGUUCAGCAGCUUCCGCGGCUUCCCAGCUGCCCACAACUCUGUUCCAAGCCGGGCAGCCCCACGCCUUCCCAGUGCUCCUCUCCCUGCCCUGCCUGCGACUGCAGCCCGGGGGGCGAUUCACUGCGCUGCAAGGAGCCACAACAACUCUUUUGGCAUAUUUCUUGUUGCUUAUCCCUCUAGGGGCCUGGGGGCCGGGGCGGGGGGGCGUUAAACUGGCACAGGUAAAAAUGAGAGUUUUGUUUUACAAGCAUCUUUGUAGGAUGCAGGAUUUCUGUCUUCCGAGGGACCUCCCUUGACACAAAAUCCUUAAAACACCAACCAAGGAAACAACAGUGUGUAAUUUUAUGAAUCCCUCAAACGCAUAUAAUAAAAGAUUGGGAACAGGUGACCUUUGCCACCUAAAGCAAGAAUAAUCUUCAUGACUCAGAGGACUACCUCAUCCCAAUCCUGACCCUGGAUCCUCAGUGAUCAGAAACCCCAAUCCACAUCAAUUGCGCAGCACUGGAAAAUGGGAGAAAGGAGAAGAGUAUCACCCAUGACCUGGAUUAGGAAGAUCUUAAGCCACCUUGCUUCUCUGAUUUCAGGAUGGCUACUGCUGCAUGAGCUGCCCGCAAUAGCAAAAGUAUUUGAAAAACUAUCCCUUUAAGGUACAAUUGAU